CAUAGUUUAUGGUUAAGACUACGACGGUAUCUGAUCGUCUUCGAUCCCCUAACUUUCGUUCUUGAUUAAUGAAAACAUCCUUGGCAAAUGCUUUCGCAGUAGUUAGUCUUCAAUAAAUCCAAGAAUUUCACCUCUGACAAUUGAAUACUAAUGCCCCCAACUAUCCCUAUUAAUCAUUACGUCAAUCCUAGAAACCAACAAAAUAGGAUCAACGUCCUAUUUCAUUAUUCCAUGCUAAUGUAUUCAAGCGCGAGCCUGCUUUAAACACUCUAAUUUUUUCAAAGUAACAGUCCUGAUUCCCCACCACACCAAAUUAAUGACAUGAUGGUUCGUCAGAAGGUAGGAACCAGUAACACCAGUACGUACCUAAGGCACGACCGACGUACUAAUCCCGAAAUUCAACUACGAGCUUUUUAACUGCAACAACUUUAAUAUACGCUA
rnacentral:rRNA from 1 species